rnacentral:snRNA from 1 species
AUAGAUUGUAUUUGGUAAAGUCUC